rnacentral:rRNA from 3 species
AGACCCGAAACCCGGUGAUCUAGCCAUGGGCAGGUUGAAGGUUGGGUAACACUAACUGGAGGACCGAACCGACUAAUGUUGAAAAAUUAGCGGAUGACCUGUGGCUGGGGGUGAAAGGCCAAUCAAACCGGGAGAUAGCUGGUUCUCCCCGAAAGCUAUUUAGGUAGCGCCUCGUGAAUUCAUCUCCGGGGGUAGAGCACUGUUUCGGCUAGGGGGCCAUCCCGGCUUACCAACCCGAUGCAAACUGCGAAUACCGGAGAAUGUUAUCACGGGAGACACACGGCGGGUGCUAACGUCCGUCGUGAAGAGGGAAACAACCCAGACCGCCAGCUAAGGUCCCAAAGUCAUGGUUAAGUGGGAAACGAUGUGGGAAGGCCCAGACAGCCAGGAUGUUGGCUUAGAAGCAGCCAUCAUUUAAAGAAAGCGUAAUAGCUCACUGGUCGAGUCGGCCUGCGCGGAAGAUGUAACGGGGCUAAACCAUGCACCGAAGCUGCGGCAGCGACGCUUAUGCGUUGUUGGGUAGGGGAGCGUUCUGUAAGCCUGUGAAGGUGUGUCGUGAGGCAUGCUGGAGGUAUCAGAAGUGCGAAUGCUGACAUAAGUAACGAUAAAGCGGGUGAAAAGCCCGCUCGCCGGAAGACCAAGGGUUCCUGUCCAACGUUAAUCGGGGCAGGGUGAGUCGACCCCUAAGGCGAGGCCGAAAGGCGUAGUCGAUGGGAAACGGGUUAAUAUUCCCGUACUUGGUGUUACUGCGAAGGGGGGACGGAGAAGGCUAUGUUGGCCGGGCGACGGUUGUCCCGGUUUAAGCGUGUAGGUGUGUGUUCCAGGUAAAUCCGGUUCACUUUAACACUGAGGCGUGAUGACGAGGCACUACGGUGCUGAAGUAACAAAUGCCCUGCUUCCAGGAAAAGCCUCUAAGCAUCAGGUAACAUCAAAUCGUACCCCAAACCGACACAGGUGGUCAGGUAGAGAAUACCAAGGCGCUUGAGAGAACUCGGGUGAAGGAACUAGGCAAAAUGGUGCCGUAACUUCGGGAGAAGGCACGCUGACACGUAGGUGAAGUGAUUUACUCACGGAGCUGAAGUCAGUCGAAGAUACCAGCUGGCUGCAACUGUUUAUUAAAAACACAGCACUGUGCAAACACGAAAGUGGACGUAUACGGUGUGACGCCUGCCCGGUGCCGGAAGGUUAAUUGAUGGGGUCAGCGCAAGCGAAGCUCCUGAUCGAAGCCCCGGUAAACGGCGGCCGUAACUAUAACGGUCCUAAGGUAGCGAAAUUCCUUGUCGGGUAAGUUCCGACCUGCACGAAUGGCGUAAUGAUGGCCAGGCUGUCUCCACCCGAGACUCAGUGAAAUUGAACUCGCUGUGAAGAUGCAGUGUACCCGCGGCAAGACGGAAAGACCCCGUGAACCUUUACUAUAGCUUGACACUGAACAUUGAGCCUUGAUGUGUAGGAUAGGUGGGAGGCUUUGAAGUGUGGACGCCAGUCUGCAUGGAGCCGACCUUGAAAUACCACCCUUUAAUGUUUGAUGUUCUAACGUGGACCCGUUACCCGGGUUGCGGACAGUGUCUGGUGGGUAGUUUGACUGGGGCGGUCUCCUCCUAAAGAGUAACGGAGGAGCACGAAGGUUGGCUAAUCCUGGUCGGACAUCAGGAGGUUAGUGCAAUGGCAUAAGCCAGCUUGACUGCGAGCGUGACGGCGCGAGCAGGUGCGAAAGCAGGUCAUAGUGAUCCGGUGGUUCUGAAUGGAAGGGCCAUCGCUCAACGGAUAAAAGGUACUCCGGGGAUAACAGGCUGAUACCGCCCAAGAGUUCAUAUCGACGGCGGUGUUUGGCACCUCGAUGUCGGCUCAUCACAUCCUGGGGCUGAAGUAGGUCCCAAGGGUAUGGCUGUUCGCCAUUUAAAGUGGUACGCGAGCUGGGUUUAGAACGUCGUGAGACAGUUCGGUCCCUAUCUGCCGUGGGCGCUGGAGAACUGAGGGGGGCUGCUCCUAGUACGAGAGGACCGGAGUGGACGCAUCACUGGUGUUCGGGUUGUCAUGCCAAUGGCACUGCCCGGUAGCUAAAUGCGGAAGAGAUAAGUGCUGAAAGCAUCUAAGCACGAAACUUGCCCCGAGAUGAGUUCUCCCUGAGACUUUAGGUCUCCUGAAGGAACGUUGAAGACGACGACGUUGAUAGGCCGGGUGUGUAAGCGCAGCGAUGCGUUGAGCUAACCGGUACUAAUGAACCGUGAGGCUUAACCUUACAACGCCGAAG